GUGCCAGCCGCCGCGGUAAUACGUAGGGGGCAAGCGUUGUCCGGAUUUAUUGGGCGUAAAGAGCGUGUAGGCGGCCUGGUAGGUCAGCUGUGAAAACUCGAGGCUCAACCUCGAGACGCCGGUUGAAACCAUCAGGCUAGAGUCCGGAAGAGGAGAGUGGAAUUCCCGGUGUAGCGGUGAAAUGCGCAGAUAUCGGGAAGAACACCCGUGGCUAAGGCGGCUCUCUAGUACGGUACUGACGCUGAGACGCGAAAGCGUGGGGAGCGAACAGGAUUAGAAACCCGGGUAGUCC
rnacentral:rRNA from 1 species